rnacentral:rRNA from 1 species
GGUUAAGCGACUAAGCGUACACGGUGGAUGCCCUGGCAGUCAGAGGCGAUGAAGGACGUGCUAAUCUGCGAUAAGCGUCGGUAAGGUGAUAUGAACCGUUAUAACCGGCGAUUUCCGAAUGGGGAAACCCAGUGUGAUUCGUCACACUAUCAUUAACUGAAUCCAUAGGUUAAUGAGGCGAACCGGGGGAACUGAAACAUCUAAGUACCCCGAGGAAAAGAAAUCAACCGAGAUUCCCCCAGUAGCGGCGAGCGAACGGGGAGCAGCCCAGAGCCUGAAUCAGUGUGUGUGUUAGUGGAAGCGUCUGGAAAGGCGCGCGAUACAGGGUGACAGCCCCGUACACAAAAAUGCACAUGCUGUGAGCUCGAUGAGUAGGGCGGGACACGUGGUAUCCUGUCUGAAUAUGGGGGGACCAUCCUCCAAGGCUAAAUACUCCUGACUGACCGAUAGUGAACCAGUACCGUGAGGGAAAGGCGAAAAGAACCCCGGCGAGGGGAGUGAAAAAGAACCUGAAACCGUGUACGUACAAGCAGUGGGAGCACAGAGCAAUCUGUGUGACUGCGUACCUUUUGUAUAAUGGGUCAGCGACUUAUAUUCUGUAGCAAGGUUAACCGAAUAGGGGAGCCGAAGGGAAACCGAGUCUUAACUGGGCGUUAAGUUGCAGGGUAUAGACCCGAAACCCGGUGAUCUAGCCAUGGGCAGGUUGAAGGUUGGGUAACACUAACUGGAGGACCGAACCGACUAAUGUUGAAAAAUUAGCGGAUGACUUGUGGCUGGGGGUGAAAGGCCAAUCAAACCGGGAGAUAGCUGGUUCUCCCCGAAAGCUAUUUAGGUAGCGCCUCGUGAAUUCAUCUCCGGGGGUAGAGCACUGUUUCGGCAAGGGGGUCAUCCCGACUUACCAACCCGAUGCAAACUGCGAAUACCGGAGAAUGUUAUCACGGGAGACACACGGCGGGUGCUAACGUCCGUCGUGAAGAGGGAAACAACCCAGACCGCCAGCUAAGGUCCCAAAGUCAUGGUUAAGUGGGAAACGAUGUGGGAAGGCCCAGACAGCCAGGAUGUUGGCUUAGAAGCAGCCAUCAUUUAAAGAAAGCGUAAUAGCUCACUGGUCGAGUCGGCCUGCGCGGAAGAUGUAACGGGGCUAAACCAUGCACCGAAGCUGCGGCAGCGACACUGUGUGUUGUUGGGUAGGGGAGCGUUCUGUAAGCCUGCGAAGGUGUGCUGUGAGGCAUGCUGGAGGUAUCAGAAGUGCGAAUGCUGACAUAAGUAACGAUAAAGCGGGUGAAAAGCCCGCUCGCCGGAAGACCAAGGGUUCCUGUCCAACGUUAAUCGGGGCAGGGUGAGUCGACCCCUAAGGCGAGGCCGAAAGGCGUAGUCGAUGGGAAACAGGUUAAUAUUCCUGUACUUGGUGUUACUGCGAAGGGGGGACGGAGAAGGCUAUGUUGGCCGGGCGACGGUUGUCCCGGUUUAAGCGUGUAGGCUGGUUUUCCAGGCAAAUCCGGAAAAUCAAGGCUGAGGCGUGAUGACGAGGCACUACGGUGCUGAAGCAACAAAUGCCCUGCUUCCAGGAAAAGCCUCUAAGCAUCAGGUAACAUCAAAUCGUACCCCAAACCGACACAGGUGGUCAGGUAGAGAAUACCAAGGCGCUUGAGAGAACUCGGGUGAAGGAACUAGGCAAAAUGGUGCCGUAACUUCGGGAGAAGGCACGCUGAUAUGUAGGUGAAGUCCCUCGCGGAUGGAGCUGAAAUCAGUCGAAGAUACCAGCUGGCUGCAACUGUUUAUUAAAAACACAGCACUGUGCAAACACGAAAGUGGACGUAUACGGUGUGACGCCUGCCCGGUGCCGGAAGGUUAAUUGAUGGGGUCAGCGCAAGCGAAGCUCUUGAUCGAAGCCCCGGUAAACGGCGGCCGUAACUAUAACGGUCCUAAGGUAGCGAAAUUCCUUGUCGGGUAAGUUCCGACCUGCACGAAUGGCGUAAUGAUGGCCAGGCUGUCUCCACCCGAGACUCAGUGAAAUUGAACUCGCUGUGAAGAUGCAGUGUACCCGCGGCAAGACGGAAAGACCCCGUGAACCUUUACUAUAGCUUGACACUGAACAUUGAGCCUUGAUGUGUAGGAUAGGUGGGAGGCUUUGAAGUGUGGACGCCAGUCUGCAUGGAGCCG